AGAGUUUGAUCAUGGCUCAGGACGAACGCUGGCGGCGUGCUUAACACAUGCAAGUCGAACGGAGAUAGAAGCUUGCUUCUAUCUUAGUGGCAAACGGGUGAGUAACGCGUGGGUAACCUACCCUAAAGUGGGGGAUAACAGAUCGAAAGGUCUGCUAAUACCGCAUACCCUUCAAGUACGAGAGUAUUUGAAGGAAAGGAGUAAUCCGCUUAAGGAGGGGCCUGCGUCCUAUCAGGUAGUUGGUGAGGUAACGGCUCACCAAGCCUAUGACGGGUAGCUGGUCUGAGAGGAUGAUCAGUCACACUGGAACUGAGACACGGUCCAGACUCCUACGGGAGGCAGCAGUGGGGAAUAUUCCGCAAUGGGCGAAAGCCUGACGGAGCGACGCCGCGUGGAUGAUGAAGACCCUAUGGGUCGUAAAAUCCUUUUGUGAGGGAAGAAGAUCUGACGGUACCUCACGAAUAAGCCACGGCUAACUACGUGCCAGCAGCCGCGGUAAAACGUAGGUGGCAAGCGUUGUCCGGAAUUACUGGGCGUAAAGAGUGCGUAGGCUGUUUUGUAAGUCUUAGGUGAAAUCUAUCAGCUCAACUGAUAAACUGCUUAAGAUACUGCAUAACUUGAGGGCAGGAGAGGAGAGUGGAAAUUCCCGGUGUAGCGGUGAAAUGCGUAGAUAUCGGGAGGGAACACCAGUGGCGAAAGGCGACUCUCUGGACUGUCCUGACGCUGUGGCACGAAAGCUAGGG
rnacentral:rRNA from 1 species